GACGAACGCUGGCGGCGUGCUUAACACAUGCCAGUCGAACGGAAAGGCCCUGCUUUUGUGGGGUGCUCGAGUGCGAACGGGUGAGUAACACGUGAGUAACCUGCCCUUGACUUUGGGAUAACUUCAGGAAACUGGGGCUAAUACCGGAUAGGAGCUCCUGCUGCAUGGUGGGGGUUGGAAAGUUUCGGCGGUUGGGGAUGGACUCGCGGCUUAUCAGCUUGUUGGUGGGGUAGUGGCUUACCAAGGCUUUGACGGGUAGCCGGCCUGAGAGGGUGACCGGCCACAUUGGGACUGAGAUACGGCCCAGACUCCUACGGGAGGCAGCAGUGGGGAAUAUUGCACAAUGGGCGGAAGCCUGAUGCAGCAACGCCGCGUGCGGGAUGACGGCCUUCGGGUUGUAAACCGCUUUCGCCUGUGACGAAGCGUGAGUGACGGUAAUGGGUAAAGAAGCACCGGCUAACUACGUG
rnacentral:rRNA from 1 species